rnacentral:rRNA from 1 species
GAUGAACGCUGGCGGCGUGCCUAAUACAUGCAAGUAGAACGCACAGUUUAUACGGUAGCUUGCUACACCAUAGACUGUGAGGGGCGAAUGGGUGAGUAACGCGUAGGUAACCUGCCUGGUAGCGGGGGAUAACUAUUGGAAACGAUAGCGAAUACCGCAUAAUAUUGAUGAUUGCAUGAUAAUUGAUGGAAAGGUGCUAUUGCAUAACUACCAGAUGGACCUGUGUUGUAUUUGCUAGUAGGAGAGGUAACGGCUCAACUAGGCCACGGUACAUAUCCGACCCGGGAGGGUGAUUGGCCCCCCUGGGACUGAGACACGGCCCAGACUCCUACGGGAGGCAGCAGUAGGGAAUCUUCGGCAAUGGACGAAAGGCUGACCGAGCAACGCCGGGUGAGUGAAGAAGGUUUUCGGAUCGUAAAGCUCUGUUGUAAGGGAAGAACGGGUGUGAGAGUGGAAAGUUCACACUGUGACGGUACCUUACCAGAAAGGGACGGCUAACUACGUG